UUGCUAGAUUAAACGGUAGUUCUAUUUUUAAUUGAGGAGCCUCCAUACUGCUUUCCAUAGUGUCUCUACCAUUUUAUAAUUUCACAAACAGUGUAUGAGAGUAGAACACAUUUCUUUUUAAAAAAAAUAUAUCUUUAUUGAUUUCAGGGAGAGAGAGAAACAUCAAUGAUGAGAGAGAAUGAUUGGUCAGCCACCUAUUGCACGCCUCCCACCGGGAAUUGAGUCUGCAACACAGGCAUGUGUCCUGACCGGGAAUAGUACCAUGACCUCCUGGUUCAUAGGUCGACGCUCAACCACUGAGCACAACUGGCUGGAUAGAACACAUUUCUUUGGGAUUGUAUUGGACUGAUUUAUCCUUUCCCAUUUCUUUAUUUUAUUUCUGUGUUAUGUUUUUAGGAGUGCGGCUUGUGAAUAGCAUGGAGCUGGAAUUACUUAUCCGAUCUGUGAAUCUGUCUUUAAACUGCUCUUUGCCCACAGCGGUGGAGGUAGUGAGAAAUGGCCAGGUCCUCGGUGUCUUUAAAGAAGCAGUUGCUGGGAAGUAUUGGGUGUCAAAGCCUUAUUGGAGAGGGUUCAAGAGAAAAUGGACAGAGGAACCGUUGGGCCACACCACGAGGAAGCAAUGAGCCAAAUCUAGGACGUGGAACAUUCAUUCUACAGGGCAACUGGCCUGGUUUCUUCAAAAGAGAAGGAAGUUCCCACUGACAGAUGGAAACACAAAAGGAAGUGUGUUAUUCCUCUCUAGACAGCACACUCCCCUCACUGGACUUCUUUUGGCAUGAGAUCCUCACAACAGACUGGUGACAUAGCUGGCAUUAUCACACCCAUUUUCCAGUGGUGAAGAUGAAGUUCAAAGAUGUAAGUAACUAUCCAGUAUGUUCUGCUCACCAGAGAAUGUGUGUGUGUGUG